UGGGGGAUUUUGGACAAUGGGGGAAACCCUGAUCCAGCCAUCCCGCGUGUGCGAUGAAGGCCUUCGGGUUGUAAAGCACUUUUGGCAGGAAAGAAACGUCAUGGGUUAAUACCCCGUGAAACUGACGGUACCUGCAGAAUAAGCACCGGCUAACUACGUGCCAGCAGCCGCGGUAAUACGUAGGGUGCAAGCGUUAAUCGGAAUUACUGGGCGUAAAGCGUGCGCAGGCGGUUCGGAAAGAAAGAUGUGAAAUCCCGGAGCUCAACUUUGGAACGGCAUUAUUAACUACCGGGCUAGGGUGUGUCAGAGGGAGGUGGAAUUCCGCGUGUAGCAGUGAAAUGCGUAGAUAUGCGGGGGAACACCGAUGGCGAAGGCAGCCUCCUGGGAUAACACUGACGCUCAUGCACGAAAGCGUGGGGAGCAAACAGG
rnacentral:rRNA from 1 species